rnacentral:rRNA from 1 species
CCUACGGGUGGCAGUAGUGAGGAAUAUUGGUCAAUGGGCGUAAGCCUGAACCAGUCAAGUCGCGUGAGGGAUGAAGGUUCUAUGGAUCGUAAACUUCUUUUAUAAGGGAAUAAAGUGUGGGACGUGUCCUAGUUUGUAUGUACCUGAUGAAUAAGGAUCGGCUAACUCCGUGCCAGCAGCCGCGGUAAUACGGAGGAUCCGAGCGUUAUCCGGAUUUAUUGGGUUUAAAGGGUGCGUAGGCGGCCUUUUAAGUCAGCGGUGAAAGUCUGUGGCUCAACCAUAGAAUUGCCGUUGAAACUGGGGGGCUUGAGUAUGUUUGAGGCAGGCGGAAUGCGUGGUGUAGCGGUGAAAUGCUUAGAUAUCACGCAGAACCCCGAUUGCGAAGGCAGCUUGCCAAGUCAUGACUGACGCUGAGGCACGAAAGCGUGGGGAUCAAACAGGAUUAGAUACCCGGGUAGUA